rnacentral:rRNA from 1 species
UAACACCGGCGGCCCGAGUGGUAGCCGCUAUUAUUGGGUCUAAAGGGUCCGUAGCCGGUUCGAUAAGUCCUCUGGGAAAUCUGGUUGCUUAACAAUCAGACUGCCAAGGGAUACUGUCGAACUUGAGACCGGGAGAGGUAAGAGGUACUUCAGGGGUAGGAGUGAAAUCUUGUAAUCCCUGGGGGACCAUCUGUGGCGAAGGCGUCUUACCAGAACGGGUCUGACGGUGAGGGACGAAAGCUGGGGGCGCAAACCGGAUUAGAUACCCGGGUAGUCCCAGCCGUAAACGAUGCUCGCUAUGUGUCAGGUACGGUGUGACCGUAUCUGGUGCCGUAGGGAAGCCGCGAAGCGAGCCACCUGGGAAGUACGGUCGCAAGACUG